AGCCACGGAAGUUCGCGCCAUUUGCAGAGGGGAGGAGCCCAGCCUCUUGCGUUCCUGUGUGAUGGGGCCGGAGCCAGUAAACAGGCUUCCUUCUCGCUCUGCUGUAUAAGAAGAAGAAGUAGGAGGAACAAAAUAAGGAGGAGAAGAAGUAAAAUAAUUUGAGAAGGAAUAUGAAGGUGAAACAUGAAGAUGAUGGUGGACAGGUGAGCUACGCAGUUCGUGGAAGAACCAGGGGUCACAGGGCCUAGAUGCUACCCUAGAUGAGAAAGAGUCCAAUGGUUAUCAACAAGUUCUGAAAGGCAAGGCCUGAG